rnacentral:rRNA from 1 species
ACGAACGCUGGCGGCAUGCCUAACACAUGCAAGUCGCACGAGACCUUCGGGUCUAGUGGCGCACGGGUGCGUCACGCGUGGGAACCUGCCUUUAGGUUCGGAAUAACUCAGAGAAAUUUGAGCUAAUACCGGAUGAUGUCUUCGGACCAAAGAUUUAUCGCCUUUAGAUGGGCCCGCGUUGGAUUAGCUAGUUGGUGGGGUAAAGGCCUACCAAGGCGACGAUCCAUAGCUGGUCUGAGAGGAUGAUCAGCCACACUGGGACUGAGACACGGCCCAGACUCCUACGGGAAGCAGCAGUGGGGAAUAUUGGACAAUGGGCGAAAGCCUGAUCCAGCAAUGCCGCGUGAGUGAUGAAGGCCUUAGGGUUGUAAAGCUCUUUUACCCGAGAUGAUAAUGACAGUAUCGGGAGAAUAAGCUCCGGCUAACUCCGUG